CCCUACGGGAGGCAGCAGUGAGGAAUAUUGGUCAAUGGUCGGGAGACUGAACCAGCCAAGCCGCGUGAGGGAUGAAGGUACAGAGUAUCGUAAACCUCUUUUGUCAGGGAACAAAGGCGGGGACGUGUCCCCGGAUGAGUGUACCUGAAGAAAAAGCAUCGGCUAACUCCGUGCCAGCAGCCGCGGUAAUACGUAGGGGGCAAGCGUUAUCCGGAUUUACUGGGUGUAAAGGGAGCGUAGACGGUACGCCAAGUCUGAAGUGAAAUGCCGCAGCUUAACUGCGGAACUGCUUUGGAAACUGGCGG
rnacentral:rRNA from 1 species